GAAAAUGAAAAUUUCCUCCAAUGGUCGUUUUUUUUCCUGAGAUCAUCUGGCUCUCCCUCCUCAUCCUCAUCCUCUUCUCCUUUUUGAUCAUUUCUUCCAUCACCCACCUUGCCCGCGCCCUCUCCGCUCCUCCCCUCACUUCUUCGCCCCCUCACGCCUCCUUCCAUUCUGCCCCAUUCUCCUAUCUUGCCUUCCUCCUCCUCCUCCUCAUCACUACCACUGCUGCCGUGCCGACCCCUGGUGGCCCUUCUGGCCCCACUGCUGCUGCGGCUGUGGCAACGGGGGUUGCCACAGCCUUUAGAAGGCCUUCGAGUUCGAUGUCCAAUUCCACAUCGUGUUGCCACAGCCUUUAGAAGGCCUUCGAGUUCGAUGUCCAAUUCCACAUCGUGGAGGCCCUCCACUCUCCUCUAUGCCAGCAUGAGGGAUUUGCGAUUAUCAUUCAUUUCACUCGAAGCAAAUAGAGUAAUUUUUCUGUUGUUGGGCAUUUGACUUUUUUUCCUCUGAAUCCUAUACCAUUUUCUAUAGUUAUGCAUGUUGUCAUCUUUGAUGAGCUGAACUUUACUUUCCACAAUGGCACCUACAAUAUUUUGCAUGAAAGAAAAGGUCCUAAGCUUCACUGUUAUGGGAUGAUACAAGCCCAUAAGAAGAAAAGGAUAUUACAUAUAAGACACCAAAAUCUUCCCUUCUUCCCCCUCUCUGCUGAAAAGAACAAAGCCCGUAUGUCAUAUAUGGAGGGCUUAACUUCUUUUCUCCUACUAGAAUAGUAGUAAUAAUAAUGAAAAUUCUAAGGGCCUCUCAUCAGAAGUUUGGAGUGCUUCUACUGCUGCAAUAAGGUUAGAGAGGGUGGUAUUUGUUGUGAGUUCUGAGUAGGGAUCUAGAUUAUAAGUCGAGCAAUGGCAGCAGGCAACCAAAACAAGGAAUAGUUGCCGGAGAAACAUGUGAGGAAGCAGCUUGCUACUACUAUUAGGAUAUGUCAAGCAAUGGCAGAAGGCGCCCAAAACUUGGAAGAGUUGGCGGAGAAACAUGUGAGGAAGAAGCUUGCUCCUACUAUUAGGAGCAUCCAGUGGAGUUAUGCAAUCUUUUGGUCCAUCUCAAUAAGGCAACAAAGGUAUGGGAAAGAUUCAAACUCACAUUUUCUUCUUUUUGGAUGUGUGGGUAAAUAUGUUGCUUCUCUAGUUUAUAAGCUCAUCACUUUACUGUAUGUUUGUAUUUCUCCUUAUGUUUGCUCUCCAAGUUAAGAUACAUUAAGAUUAACAUAACCAUCUCUCAGGCAUUUAUGCAGCAGUUUAUGGACUGAAAACCCACAUCCCAUCAUGAAUUUACCAAACAUAUACUCUGAAUUUGUCUAGCUCUUUCCCUUCAUGACAGUUGAGUGGGUCAGGAGAUGAUACUUGGAGUCUCUGGCUACCAUUUGGUUUCUGUCAUGGUUAUGAUUGUUAUGGUGGAUCUAUAUUGUACUAAAUGUGCUGUCUAUGAGCAUUAUAAUAACCAUCUGAAGAAGGUAUUAUUGUGCAAAUUAUUUAUGAUUUACCAAACAUGAAGUGUUAUAGAAUAGCUCUGUAAGAUUUGCAAGGUGCCUUUGUGAAGUAAGAAUGAAAUUGGCUAUUAACUGUCUAUUGGGAAAAACCUCUUUUACUCUCUUGUAAUAGCUUCAAAACCUUUCUUUGUUUUGGAUUUCAUUAGUGAAGGAAUUGCCUCUAUUGCCUUUGUACUUAAAUUGCACUUUUUUCAUUAUCAAAGAUGCUUAUUUGAAUUUUAACUCAUGCACAAAAGAGUAUCAACAAGUCUAAUUCAUGUUCAAGUCUUAAAUUGGUUAUAUGAUUGCAUUUUAUCAUCUCUACCAUUAUAAUGAGUAAAGCUUUUGUAGCUGGGCGGAUAAAAAUUAUACCCCUAUAGAAGUAAAAACUUGUGUUCCAAUGUUCAUAUGAAAUAAUUAUUGGGAAACUUUUUAGUCAUGUGAAGCAUAUUUUAAAGACUUUCCAAUACUUAGUAAAUUAAACAUUGAUUUAUAGUUCAUAUCUUUCUCCCAUAUAAGAUCUAUGUGAUAAUUUUAAUGCUUAAAACCAUGUCAAAUUGAAUCAUCUACCUAAUUAUUGGAAAUAUUGAAAAGGAUAAAACACGGGGUAGAUACAGAAGGGAGAAGAGGAAGGAGGGAGGGAGAGGAAAUUCUAAUUUAUCAUCCAAAUGCAUGAUAGGUUUAUUUACAUGAGUUCUUUUUCUAGUAGGAUUUUAUGCAUGAUCUUAUAGGAUCAAAACCCACUUUCCAUGGUUAUAAAUCUUAGAUACCCAAAUAGAAACCUAAACAGGCCCUUAAGUCGGACAAGGACCUUCCCUAAAAUCUAGAGGGUUAUUUGUGAGCAUGGCAUCUGCCAUAUUGGUUCUAUGCUUUGGCCUAUAGAAUUGAGAACAUCCCUCCAGGACUGCUUCAAGUCUGAAAAAGAGAGUGCAUACAAGAAGAUAAUCUUACCAAAAGGAAACAAAGAUAUAAGAAGAUGGGAUUUGCAUGAUGAAUUGUGUGACAAAAAAUGAAAUUUAUGCAUGAACGCAAGCUUGUCUUUUGAAUUAAGCUAUAGAAAACUGAUUUCACAAAUAACAUUUCUAGUUGUAGUAGAACCACGCAACAAAGUGAAAUCAAAGAUCUAGCGCGGAAAGCAGCAACAUCCCUUUAUCAUUUGGAUGAGCAAGAGAUUAUAUCAUUAUUUGAUCUAUUGUCUGUAUUGCUUCCAGGCUCAUAUAAUGAUUCCGAGGCUUCCAUGUUGAUUGUAUGAUCUUCCUUGAACACCUUGUCUAGAGAUGAUAGAAAAGGCUUUGUUGGCAUUUGCAUAUCCUCGAUUUUCUUUUCUAACAUCUCUACAACUUGGCUCAUAGAUGGUCUGUCUGCUGGAUUCAUUUGUAUACACUGUAGUGCUAUCAUCAGGAGUUUCUUGGCAAUUUCCUUUUCAUCAUGAGUGGCAUCCUCCAUUUCCAAGUCUCUUCCUUGA